rnacentral:sRNA from 1 species
ACAGCGUGACGUGGGGGUACCGAGAUCUGCGGGAGCAGCGGUCCCGGCUUCAGUUCUAGCCUACCCGGCAGCCUGGACGGGAGCAAGGCGAGAGGUGCUGCCGCCUCCCGUCGCCCCUGCGCUCAGAGGUCCCGAACCAGCCCAGCCGCUGCCUCUUGCCGCUCCGCCUUUGGAGUGAGGAGGGCGUAGCCCGCGUCAGAACUUAGAGGGCCAGGCAGGGUCGCGCGCAUGGCCUGGGCGGGCUCGCGGCGGGUCCCAGCUGGGACGCGCGCGGCAGCCGAGCGCUGCUGCCGGCUCUCGCUCAGCCCGGGCGCGCAACCGGCCCCGCCCCCAGGCCCUCUGCCACCGCCGCGACCAAUGAGGUUUCUGACCUCCUACAGCCUCCUCUUGCCUCGGGCUGCCCAGAUCUUGGCGGCUGAGGCUGGCUUACCUUCGAGCCGUUCCUUCAUGGGAUUUGCUGCUCCCUUCACCAACAAGCGAAAGGCUUACUCGGAGCGUAGAAUCAUGGGGUACUCAAUGCAGGAGAUGUAUGAGGUGGUGUCCAACGUCCAGGAGUACCGUGAGUUUGUGCCCUGGUGUAAGAAGUCUCUGGUGGUAUCCAGCCGUAAGGGUCAUUUGAAAGCCCAGCUGGAGGUUGGCUUUCCACCUGUCAUGGAACGUUACACCUCUGCAGUUUCCAUGGUCAAACCUCACAUGGUCAAGGUGAGGCCUGUAUGGGAGGGAUUGACAAGAUUUUUUGUUUUUAGCAGUUUCAUAUGAAAGUGCUAUUUUGGCCUUCCUUGUAAGUACUUUAUGUCCAUGUGUCAAGUAUUUCCCUCGUAUCAGAAAAGAAGGAAAAUGGCUUUCAAUUCCUUUAUAUUGUAUCCUAUACUUAGUAAUGUUAUUUAACUACCUGAUUACCCUAUUCUAGGCUGUUUGUACUGAUGGCAAGCUCUUCAACCACUUAGAGACUAUUUGGCGAUUCAGCCCUGGUAUUCCUGCCUAUCCUCGAACCUGCACUGUGGACUUUUCGAUUUCCUUUGAAUUUCGUUCUCUGCUGCACUCCCAGCUGGCCACCAUGUUUUUUGAUGAGGUUGUCAAACAGAAUGUUGCUGCCUUUGAGCGUCGGGCAGCCACCAAGUUUGGUCCAGAAACAGCCAUCCCCCGUGAACUGAUGUUCCAUGAGGUGCACCAGACUUGAGGCAAGGGGUUGCUCCCUGACCUCCCUUCUACCCCACUUCCCUACGCAAUUCUCUUAUUUAUUUGGUUUGGCUCCUGUUCCAAUUUGAAAGGAGUCUGUGUUCAUAAUACUGUUUCUCCUCUCAAUUUCCCAGAAAUUGGGUUCUAUGCUGG